CCAACAAUGGGGUCACUGUUCAAAUGAAACAGUGGCUGUGCUUUCCAUCUCCUCAAAGCAACACUACAAACACAAAAAUAUCCUCUGGCACACGAGCAAAGUCUUGUGAGAGAAAUUUCACUACCAGUGACUAAAGAAAAAAUUCCAUAGAACAGCUGUCCAUGAUGCGUGCAAAACAAGUUGACUGGUGGCUUUCCAAGAACUAACGUAACAACUGAAAACACUGAAAUUCUCUUCCGUUUUAUCAUGUACAAUAUAGAUGAAAGACACCUCUACAAGGCAGCUAUCUGCAUUUCAAGGGAAGACUACUCUGUCGCCAAUGUAAGCUUAUCUCCUAGAAGGCUACCAAACAUUUUGACUGUGAUAAUUAAUUCAUCUUCUGGUCAGACUUCAGAUAUUUAUUUUGUUCCCAGGAUUAUCAUCCAGCCCCUUUAUUUGGAUCUUUAACCUAUUCUGUUGCUGAACUCUUAUGGCAGAUUAAUAUUUACAAGGUAGCAAUAAAUGCAUCCUUAAAACCUUGUUUGUUCCUAGAUAUAAAAACCUGUUCAGGUAAUGAGAUUUGUAUCCGUUCUGAAUAAUAUUCAAUGGCAUUAUCUAUGAGACAAAACUCUUACAAGGAAAAGCACUCUCAUGCUGGAAACAGCAUGCAAUUUAUAAGUGGGUUGAGUAAAUUAUAAAUGGUUGAACCAACCUGUAUUUCACUGCAUAUAACACAUGCUGGAAAAUGACCUCUGAAAAAACACAUGGGGGUAACAAUCAGCCCACUAAUUAAAGUAGAUAUCCUUAACACCUUAAUUGUCAAUAAAUUAAUAAAUCAUUAACAAUAUGGCUAAUUAUUAUUAUUAUUAGUUGUAGUAGUAGUAUCCUGCCUCUCCCUGUAUUAGAUCGAGGCGGGUAACAACUAACAAGUAUCAUUAACAUAUAAGGAAUAAUUUUACAUGAGCCAAACAAUAUGAGAAAGAUACCUCUGCUACCUGUGUAACAUAAAUGGAACAUGUUAGCACCUUGGGUGGUAUUGCAGCAGUUGCCUUGCAGCUUCUGCAAGCUUGCAUCACCAGCCAAACAUCAUUUAGCCCUCCAGCGCAGUUUUAAAAUUUGACAAUAAAUCCCAGCCAACUUGGUCCACCACAGUUUAGUUUUUAUGCAUCUGAUUGUUUUACUUUGCUGCUUGCUUUCUACAGCUAGCAGAAACAUCUUCCCUGAAUAGUCUUACCUUUUAUCAUUUUUUCAACUCAGGAAUUAAUCACAUAUUAAACAUAUUCAGUAGAUUAUGCAGACAUAGGUAACAUUAGGGGGUAAAACCAUGUUUUCCAUUCUUUAGUACAUCGAUCGCA